GCAGGCUUAACACAUGCAAGUCGAGCGGAAACGAUGAUAGCUUGCUAUCAGGCGUCGAGCGGCGGACGGGUGAGUAACGCGUAGGAAUCUGCCUAGUAGUGGGGGACAACAUGUGGAAACGCAUGCUAAUACCGCAUACGCCCUUUUGGGGAAAGGAGGGGACUCUUUAGAGCCUUCCGCUAUUAGAUGAGCCUGCGUGAGAUUAGCUAGUUGGUGGGGUAAAGGCUCACCAAGGCGACGAUCUCUAGCUGGUCUGAGAGGAUGACCAGUCACACUGGGACUGAGACACGGCCCAGACUCCUACGGGAGGCAGCAGUGGGGAAUAUUGGACAAUGGGGGCAACCCUGAUCCAGCCAUGCCGCGUGUGUGAAGAAGGUCUUAGGGUUGUAAAGCACUUUCAGAGGUGAGGAAGGGUGCGUAGUUAAUACCUGCGUAUUUUGACGUUAACCUCAGAAGAAGCACCGGCUAACUCUGUGCCAGCAGCCGCGGUAAUACAGAGGGUGCGAGCGUUAAUCGGAAUUACUGGGCGUAAAGCGCGCGUAGGUGGUUUGUUAAGUCGGAUGUGAAAGCCCAGGGCUCAACCUUGGAACUGCACCCGAUACUGGCAGGCUAGAGUACGAUAGAGGAGUGUGGAAUUUCCUGUGUAGCGGUGAAAUGCGUAGAUAUAGGAAGGAACAUCAGUGGCGAAGGCGACACGCUGGAUUGAUACUGACACUGAGGUGCGAAAGCGUGGGUAGCAAACAGGAUUAGAUACCCUGGUAGUCCACGCCGUAAACGAUGUCUACUAGCCGUUGGGGAUAUUAUUCUUAGUGGCGCACGUAACGCGAUAAGUAGACCGCCUGGGGAGUACGGCCGCAAGGUUAAAACUCAAAUGAAUUGACGGGGGCCCGCACAAGCGGUGGAGCAUGUGGUUUAAUUCGAAGCAACGCGAAGAACCUUACCUACUCUUGACAUCCAUAGAACUUAGCAGAGAUGCUUUGGUGCCUUCGGGAACUAUGAGACAGGUGCUGCAUGGCUGUCGU
rnacentral:rRNA from 1 species